rnacentral:rRNA from 1 species
GACGAACGCUGGCGGCGUGCUUAACACAUGCAAGUCGAACGGAAAGGCCCUGCUUUUGUGGGGUGCUCGAGUGGCGAACGGGUGAGUAACACGUGAGUAACCUGCCCUUGACUUUGGGAUAACUUCAGGAAACUGGGGCUAAUACCGGAUAGGAGCUCCUGCUGCAUGGUGGGGGUUGGAAAGUUUCGGCGGUUGGGGAUGGACUCGCGGCUUAUCAGCUUGUUGGUGGGGUAGUGGCUUACCAAGGCUUUGACGGGUAGCCGGCCUGAGAGGGUGACCGGCCACAUUGGGACUAGGAUACGGCCCAGACUCCUACGGGAGGCAGCGGUGGGGAAUAUUGCACAAUGGGCGGAAGCCUGAUGCAGCAACGCCGCGUGCGGGAUGACGGCCUUCGGGUAGUAAACCGCUUUCGCCUGUGACGAAGCGUGAGUGACGGUAAUGGGUAAAGAAGCACCGGCUAACUACGUG